UAAGGAAUAUUGGUCAAUGGAGGGAACUCUGAACCAGCCAUGCCGCGUGAAGGAUGACGGCCCUCUGGGUUGUAAACUUCUUUUGGAUGGGGCGAAAAAACGGGAUUUAUCCUGGACUGACGGUACCAUCAGAAUAAGCACCGGCUAACUCCGUGCCAGCAGCCGCGGUAAUACGGAAGGUGCAAGCGUUAUCCGGAAUCACUGGGUUUAAAGGGUGCGUAGGCGGUUGUAUAAGUCAGGGGUGAAAGCACGCAGCUUAACUGUGUAAUUGCCUUUGAUACUGUACGGCUUGAAUAGGGUUGAGGUUGGCGGAAUGUGACAUGUAGCGGUGAAAUGCAUAGAUAUGUCAUAGAACACCGAUUGCGAAGGCAGCUGACUGGGCCUAUAUUGACGCUGAGGCAC
rnacentral:rRNA from 1 species